CUUGACCGACCCCAGCCGCAGCGGCCGGUCGGCGGGCCGGUCCCGGCCGUAGACGGCGAGCAGCGCCUGGGCCUC
rnacentral:antisense_RNA from 2 species